UGCGCAGGCGGCCAUGUGUGUUAGGCGUGAAAGCCCGAGGCUUAACCUCGGAAUUGCACCUAAAACUACAUGGCUAGAGUACUGGAGAGGGAAGCGGAAUUCACGGUGUAGCAGUGAAAUGCGUAGAUAUCGUGAGGAACACCAAUGGCGAAGGCAGCUUCCUGGACAGUUACUGGCGCUCAGGCACGAAAGCGUGGGGAGCAAAAGAGAUUAGAUACCCCUGUAGUCCACGCCCUAAACGGUGCACACUAGGUCUUGGCGGAUUCGACCCCCCCAGGGCCCAAGCUAACGCGUUAAGUGUGCCGCCUGAGGACUACGGCCGCAAGGCUAAA
rnacentral:rRNA from 1 species